rnacentral:lncRNA from 1 species
UGUGAAGUGGCAAAUGAUUCAAGGCGAGGCAAGAGGUGCUUCAGAUGCUGUCUUUUGCAGUCCUCCGAGAGCCUUCUCCGCUGGUGGUAUACUUACGAGGACCAGAGGUGAGGUGUCAGCAAGGAGGCCCACAGGUGGAAAGUGCUUUGGGCCAAUGGUACACACCUGCUUUAUUGGAUAGACGCAGAGAAGUAUGCCUGGUCACAGCCAGAGCUUACUCGGUCAAGAAAUUAUGAGCUCCCCAGAAGUCUCUUGUAUGCUGUCUCCUAGUUGUGAGCACCUUUUACCAAAGAUUAAAAAGAAAAAAGAAAAUCAGGUGGAUAAAGAGCCUCAGGUCUAACUGAAUUGUCAACUAAUGAUGGUCUGAGAGUACCUGUGCUGAAAUGGAAUUGUCUUUGAGUGGACACUUCUUAGAUGAGACCUAUUGUGGCCAAUAGCUCCUGAGGAACUGAAGCCUUCAGUUCAAAACUUGUGUGAGAAAAAUGAAUCUUGCCAACUACUGGAGUGAGCUUAGAAAUGAAUCCAUCCCCAGUUGACCCUUGAAUGUAGCCUUGUCAGAGACCCAGAGACAAAGCAUCCUGCUAAUCUGCACUGGGUUCUAGGCCCACAGAAACCAUGGGAUAAUAACUUUGUGUUGCUAUAAGCCACUGAAAACAAACAAAUAAAAUACUUAAGAUGUUCCCCUGUGGAAGGGUUCCAUUGCCAGGGAUCUGCACUUCACAACCAAAGGGAUUAAAGAGAAUUGCCUUCUUCAGAUUUCA